rnacentral:rRNA from 1 species
UACGUAGGGUGCAAGCGUUGUCCGGAAUUAUUGGGCGUAAAGAGCUCGUAGGCGGUCUGUCGCGUCUGCUGUGAAAACUCAGGGCUUAACCCUGAGCUUGCAGUGGGUACGGGCAGACUAGAGUGCGGUAGGGGAGACUGGAAUUCCUGGUGUAGCGGUGAAAUGCGCAGAUAUCAGGGAGGAACACCGGUGGGCGAAAGGCGGGUCUC